UUGAAUCAUGAAGAAAAAUGGAAAUCAACUUACAUUAUAGUCUUUUUUGCAUUUGAUGUAAUUGUCCUGUUGCUGGAAGAAAUCACAUGGAUGUUGGUACUUCUAGAGCAGAGGUCUAAUUAAUAUGGGCUUUGAUCAAGUUCAGAACAAUUAUUAAAUGCAAGUAUAUUAAUUAGAAUUUAGUUUACAUGUGUUGAUGGUAUAUAACAUAGUUUCAUUACAUAGUUUCAUACACACUAAAAUAAAA
rnacentral:lncRNA from 1 species